AUUGAACGCUGGCGACAUGCCUUACACAUGCAAGUCGAACGGCAGCACGGGUGCUUGCCCCUGGUGGCGAGUGGCGAACGGGUGAGUAAUACAUCGGAACAUGUCCUGUAGUGGGGGAUAGCCCGGCGAAAGCCGGAUUAAUACCGCAUACGAUCUACGGAUGAAAGCGGGGGACCUUCGGGCCUCGCGCUAUAGGGUUGGCCGAUGGCUGAUUAGCUAGUUGGUGGGGUAAAGGCCUACCAAGGCGACGAUCAGUAGCUGGUCUGAGAGGACGACCAGUCACACUGGGACUGAGACACGGCCCAGACUCCUACGGGAGGCAGCAGUGGGGAAUUUUGGACAAUGGGCGAAAGCCUGAUCCAGCAAUGCCGCGUGUGUGAAGAAGGCCUUCGGGUUGUAAAGCACUUUUGUCCGGAAAGAAAUCCUUGGCCCUAAUACGGUCGGGGGAUGACGGUACCGGAAGAAUAAGCACCGGCUAACUACGU
rnacentral:rRNA from 1 species